rnacentral:rRNA from 1 species
AGUCGAGCGAACGGACGAGAAGCUUGCUUCUCUGAUGUUAGCGGCGGACGGGUGAGUAACACGUGGAUAACCUACCUAUAAGACUGGGAUAACUUCGGGAAACCGGAGCUAAUACCGGAUAAUAUUUUGAACUGCAUGGUUCAAAAGUGAAAGACGGUCUUGCUGUCACUUAUAGAUGGAUCCGCGCUGCAUUAGCUAGUUGGUAAGGUAACGGCUUACCAAGGCAACGAUGCAUAGCCGACCUGAGAGGGUGAUCGGCCACACUGGAACUGAGACACGGUCCAGACUCCUACGGGAGGCAGCAGUAGGGAAUCUUCCGCAAUGGGCGAAAGCCUGACGGAGCAACGCCGCGUGAGUGAUGAAGGUCUUCGGAUCGUAAAACUCUGUUAUUAGGGAAGAACAUAUGUGUAAGUAACUGUGCACAUCUUGACGGUACCUAAUCAGAAAGCCACGGCUAACUACGUGCCAGCAGCCGCGGUAAUACGUAGGUGGCAAGCGUUAUCCGGAAUUAUUGGGCGUAAAGCGCGCGUAGGCGGUUUUUUAAGUCUGAUGUGAAAGCCCACGGCUCAACCGUGGAGGGUCAUUGGAAACUGGAAAACUUGAGUGCAGAAGAGGAAAGUGGAAUUCCAUGUGUAGCGGUGAAAUGCGCAGAGAUAUGGAGGAACACCAGUGGCGAAGGCGACUUUCUGGUCUGUAACUGACGCUGAUGUGCGAAAGCGUGGGGAUCAAACAGGAUUAGAUACCCUGGUAGUCCACGCCGUAAACGAUGAGUGCUAAGUGUUAGGGGGUUUCCGCCCCUUAGUGCUGCAGCUAACGCAUUAAGCACUCCGCCUGGGGAGUACGACCGCAAGGUUGAAACUCAAAGGAAUUGACGGGG